AUGGAGAGCGAGGCGGGCCGCGGGCCCCGGGCGGGUGGCGGCGCGGGGCGCGGGGGGCGGCGGGCGGGAGCGGGAGCGGGGCUACUCACCGGCCUCUCGCGGGCGGGGGGGCCGCGUCCUGCCCGGCGGCCGGCGGGGACUGGGCGGGGCGGGGCGGGGCGGCGGGGACCGGGGGGCGGGGCGGGGCGGGGCGGGCGGCGGGAGCGCGCGGGGGGCGCCGCGGGUCCCGGAGUUCCGCGGGGUGUGGGCUUCGGCGCGCGGCGCGGGGCCCGCGGGCUUUAUCCGCGCCUAAUUAGCAUCUCGUGCCCGCGGGCCGCCCACGGCUGCAGGGUGGUGGCCCAGGGCGUGGCGCUGCCGACGCCUAGUUCCGCCUGGGGUCCCGGCGGGGCCCGGGGCCCACGACUCCAUCCCGGGGCGCGCGGCUCCAUCCCGGGACCCGCGGCUCAAUCCCGGGGCCCGCGGCUCCUUCCCGGGGACCCGCGGCUCAAUCCCGGGGCCCGCGGCUCCUUCCCGGGACCCGCGGCUCCAUCCCGGGGCGCGCGGCUCCAUCCCGGGACCCGCGGCUCCAUCCCGGGGCGCGCGGCUCCAUCCCGGGACCCGCGGCUCCAUCCCGGGGCCGCGGCUCCAUCCCGGGGACCCGCGGCUCCUUCCCGGGGACCCGCGGCUCCAUCCCGGGGCGCGCGGCUCCAUCCCGGGGGCCACGCGGCUCCAUCCCGGGGCGCGCGGCUCCAUCCCGGGGACCCGCGGCUCCUUCCCGGGGACCCGCGGCUCCAUCCCGGGGACCCGCGGCUCCAUCCCGGGGCCCCGCGGCUCCAUCCCGGGGCGCGCGGCUCAUCCCGGGACCCGCGGCUCCUUCCCGGGACCCGCGGCUCCUUCCCGGGGCGCGCGGCUCCAUCCCGGGACCCGCGGCUCCUUCCCGGGACGCGCGCCGGCCGCGCUGGCCCCUCCCGGCGGGCGAGCCUACCCACCGUGGUGCGGUACCGGCGCCGCGGGCCGCUUCCCAGCUCCGGGCCGAUCGGGCGCGCGGCGGGGCAAGAAGUUCGGCGCCGCCGGCGCGUCCGUAGGUGCCUCGUCGCCCCUCCUACCCGGAGAGCCCGGCGCCCGAGCCUCCCCGGCGACAAGGCCGCCCCCGGACCCGGGCCGCGGGCAACGGCGCACGGAUUAAAGUCCUGGGAACUGGGCAGCCUGCGGCUCCCGCAGCGGCAAGCGUGA
rnacentral:lncRNA from 1 species